rnacentral:rRNA from 1 species
AACGCGAAGAACCUUACCCAGAUUUGACAUGCAGUAGACCGUUCUAGAGAUAGGACUUUCCUUCGGGACUGCUGCACAGGUGCUGCAUGGCUGUCGUCAGCUCGUGCCGUGAGGUGUUGGGUUAAGUCCCGCAACGAGCGCAACCCUUAUCAUUAUUUGCCAACACGUUAUGGUGGGAACUCUAAUGAGACUGCCUGGGUUAACCAGGAGGAAGGUGAGGAUGACGUCAAGUCCGCAUGGCCCUUAUGUCUGGGGCUACACACGUGCUACAAUGGUCGGUACAGAAGGCAGCGAAGCCGCGAGGUGGAGCAAAUCCAAAAAGCCGGCCCCAGUUCAGAUUGUAGUCUGCAACUCGACUACAUGAAGAUGGAAUUGCUAGUAAUGGCGAGUCAGCAACAUCGCCGUGAAUACGUUCCCGGGCCUUGUACACACCGACGAC